AACCUUAUGGACCUGCGGGCGUAUACCUGCGGAGGGAUCAUUAUUGAAUAAAUUGGGUCAGGUUGUUGCUGGCUCCUUUCGGGGCAAUGUGCACGCCGACUCCAUUUUCAACCCCUGUGCACCUUCUGUAGACCUGAAUUAACUCGAGCAGUUUAACUACUUUACUCGGUCAGAGAAUUGCUGUGCGAAAGUCAGCUUUUCUUGCAAUUCGGUCUAUGCUUUACACAAACUCCUUUAUAA
rnacentral:misc_RNA from 1 species